rnacentral:piRNA from 1 species
UCUCAUGUUUAUGAGGCCUUGAGUUC